rnacentral:rRNA from 1 species
CAGGUUUACCUGUGUGACUGCGUACCUUUUGUAUAAUGGGUCAGCGACUUAUAUUCUGUAGCAAGGUUAACCGAAUAGGGGAGCCGGAGGGAAACCGAGUCUUAAUUGGGCGUUAAGUUGCAGGGUAUAGACCCGAAACCCGGUGAUCUAGCCAUGGGCAGGUUGAAGGUUGGGUAACACUAACUGGAGGACCGAACCGACUAAUGUUGAAAAAUUAGCGGAUGACCUGUGGCUGGGGGUGAAAGGCCAAUCAAACCGGGAGAUAGCUGGUUCUCCCCGAAAGCUAUUUAGGUAGCGCCUCGUGAAUUCAUCUCCGGGGGUAGAGCACUGUUUCGGCUAGGGGGCCAUCCCGGCUUACCAACCCGAUGCAAACUGCGAAUACCGGAGAAUGUUAUCACGGGAGACACACGGCGGGUGCUAACGUCCGUCGUGAAGAGGGAAACAACCCAGACCGCCAGCUAAGGUCCCAAAGUCAUGGUUAAGUGGGAAACGAUGUGGGAAGGCCCAGACAGCCAGGAUGUUGGCUUAGAAGCAGCCAUCAUUUAAAGAAAGCGUAAUAGCUCACUGGUCGAGUCGGCCUGCGCGGAAGAUGUAACGGGGCUAAACCAUGCACCGAAGCUGCGGCAGCGACGCUGAUGCGUUGUUGGGUAGGGGAGCGUUCUGUAAGCCUGCGAAGGUGGCCUGUGAGGGUUGCUGGAGGUAUCAGAAGUGCGAAUGCUGACAUAAGUAACGAUAAAGCGGGUGAAAAGCCCGCUCGCCGGAAGACCAAGGGUUCCUGUCCAACGUUAAUCGGGGCAGGGUGAGUCGACCCCUAAGGCGAGGCCGAAAGGCGUAGUCGAUGGGAAACGGGUUAAUAUUCCCGUACUUGGUGUUACUGCGAAGGGGGGACGGAGAAGGCUAUGUUGGCCGGGCGACGGUUGUCCCGGUUUAAGCGUGUAGGUGUGUGUUCCAGGUAAAUCCGGUUCACUUUAACACUGAGGCGUGAUGACGAGGCACUACGGUGCUGAAGCAACAAAUGCCCUGCUUCCAGGAAAAGCCUCUAAGCAUCAGGUAACAUCAAAUCGUACCCCAAACCGACACAGGUGGUCAGGUAGAGAAUACCAAGGCGCUUGAGAGAACUCGGGUGAAGGAACUAGGCAAAAUGGUGCCGUAACU